GCAAGUCGAACGAGUGACAGCAGAGCUUGCUUUGCUGAAGCUAGUGGCGGACGGGUGAGUAAUGCGUAGGGAUCUGCCCUUUUGUGGGGGACAACCUGGGGAAACUCAGGCUAAUACCGCAUAAUAUCUUCGGAUUAAAGGAUGGGACCUUUUAGGCCAUUCGCAAAAGGAGGAACCUACGUCGGAUUAGCUUGUUGGUAGGGUAAAGGCCUACCAAGGCGACGAUCCGUAGCUGGUCUGAGAGGACGAGC
rnacentral:rRNA from 1 species